rnacentral:lncRNA from 1 species
CUCCAUGCUACCAAGUUGUUUUCAAUGAUGCAGUUUCCAAAUCGAUGAUCGGCUUCGUUAGAUUUGAUCUACACUAUUAAAAGUGUUUGGAAAUUAAAUUUUAUAAUUUUUUGACAUCAUUUGGCUAGUGAUCAAAAGUCUCAAAAUUGACAAUUUUAACGGUAGAUUUGAUGCGUUUGUGAAUUUAACGGUGUAAAACAAUCUAAAUUGGAUGAAAUUUUAAUAGAAAAUUCGUUUCACUAUUUAGAGUAAGAUCAGUACCUCCGAUCUUAAAUUCAAGUCUUUUAUCAUCAUUUUUUAUGAAAUUUUUAUUUUCGGCCGUUCAUUUUUAGACUACUUGUUUGAUAGGUAAAUGAUGCCGAAAAAUUAUGAAAUUUAAUUUCCAAAUACUUUCAAUAAUAUAGAUCAAGUCUAACGGAGCCGAUCGUCGAUUUGGAAGCCGCAUCAUCAAAAACAACUUGGUAGCACGGA